rnacentral:lncRNA from 1 species
ACUAGCAUGGCAGCCUGAAAUUAGACAAUAGACAAUGGUAUAAAUUGUAAGCUUACUGAAAUAUUUAUGGGUCAUACUUAACUGAAUCUAAAUUCUGGUGUUCUCAAUCAAUCAAAUCCUUUAAAAUUUUGUUUAAGGCGGGUCGAAGAUUUCUUGAAACUUCGACAAUACCUUCCCAAUUAAGACGAGACGCGCCUCUUUCUUCAACGACUAUUUUUAAUUUUUCGUCUCUUUUGAUUUGACGAUUGAAAUUUGGUAGGUUUAAUUCCUAUAAAUUUUUUUCUUUUUUGUGUUAUAUAUUUUAUUUCAUUGGUUUGAAUAUAGUUUGAAGAUUUGAGACUUUUUUGUAGAUUUGGUUGGUUGAAUCGUUUGAAUUUGCCGGAAAGGGAUUCACUUGCUCCAAAUUUUAUGGCUUAGUCUGUUGCUUUUGUCCUUAUUUCGAUCCGUUUACACAAAGAACUAUUUUUAUUUUAACAAAUAAUUUCCCAUCCAUCUGUAUAUUUGGUAAGCCUAAUUUUGUGGUAAAUAUGAUUCUUUAUUGCUGAAAACAAAUUAUUUUCCCAAGAUCAUGGUUUAUUUAUUUAUGAAGGAAAGAAGUUCAUGUAGUAGUAGUUACCAGAAAUCCUUAAGAGUUUGAUCUGUUCCUUGAAGUUAUUUUGAUAUUUUCAGUGCAACAUAGAAAUAUAGUAGUUAUCGUGCUGGCAUAUUCAAAAUAUUUUGGCGUUUGUGGAAAAAGUUUGGGGUCCCUUAUUAUUUCAAUUAAAAAUUAUAGAAUAUCGAUACUCCGAUAAUUGUUCAGCGUAGCCAAAUAAUUAACAAUUUGGACAGAAAUUCCUAUAUUCUUUGUGAGAUAGAAGAGAGCAUGUAGAGUUCUCAUGGUUGAAUAUCCAAACUUCAAUUUUAGUGGAAAAUGUUUGGAAUCCUUAAAUUAUUUGAAAUUAUAAUUAAAUAUCAUUUUAAUAUCUGCAGCAAUGAUAGAUUUGAAAGCUACUCCCUAGUUUUUUAGUUUGAUUUUCACUAUGAUAUUAGAGAGUAAAAUAUUUGAAUCUUAUCUUGCAUUGGUUUUCUUAAAAGGAAAAGAAUUUUAAUAUAUCAUUUUCUAUCAGUAGAUAGAAUUCGCGUAAAAACUUGGCAUCAUGAAAUUUAUUAAUCUAGAAACUCAGCCAAG